AUGGACGGCCUCCUCCAUUGGGAUUUCUCCCCCGGCCUCAAGGUCGAGGGCUAGGUGCGUGCUCAUUUUGCACCUACGGUUCACUUCGUCCCCAACCCCAACUCCAAGGAGUUCUUCCUUGAAGUUUCUUUCUCCUAGGCCUCUUUUCCUCUCUCGGUGGAAUCUGUGGGAUUGGCCCUUCAAUCUUGCAUUGGU
rnacentral:rRNA from 1 species